ACCAGACAUAGUGGCAUAUGCCUGUAGUCCCAGAUGCUAGGGAGGCAGAAACUGAUGGAUCCUUUGAGUCUGGGAGUUCUGAGCUGCAGUGGGGCUAAAGUCAAUUGGGUGUCCACAUUAAAUCUGGCACCAACAUGGUGAGCCCCUGGGAGUGCCAGGCUGUCUAAGGAUGGGUGAACUAGCCCAGGUUGGAAAAAUGGACCAGAUUAAAGCUUCCAUGCAAAUUGGUACUAAGAUUAGGCCCAUGAAUGUCCACUAUACUUCCAGCCUAAAUGAAGUAAGGAAUCUCAGUCUCAA
rnacentral:SRP_RNA from 1 species